rnacentral:rRNA from 1 species
UACGGAGGGUGCGAGCGUUGUCCGGAAUCAUUGGGCGUAAAGGGCGCGUAGGUGGCCCAGUAAGCGUGCGGUGAAAGCCCGGGGCUCAACCCCGGGUCGGCCGUGCGAACUGUCGAGCUGGAGCACUGUAGAGGCAGGUGGAAUUCCGGGUGUAGCGGUGGAAUGCGUAGAGAUCCGGAAGGACACCGGUGGCGAAGGCGGCCUGCUGGGCAGUGGCUGACGCUGAGGCGCGACAGCGUGGGGAGCAAACAGG